UGGGGAAUAUUGCGCAAUGGGCGAAAGCCUGAUCCAGCCAUGCCGCGUGAGUGACGAAGGCCUUAGGGUUGUAAAACUCUUUCGUCGGGGACGAUAAUGACGGUACCCGAAGAAGAAGCUCCGGCUAACUUCGUGCCAGCAGCCGCGGUAAUACGAAGGGAGCUAGCGUUGUUCGGAAUCACUGGGCGUAAAGCGCACGUAGGCGGAUAGUUAAGUCAGGGGUGAAAUCCUGGGGCUCAACCCCAGAACUGCCUUUGAUACUGGCUGUCUCGAGGUCGAGAGAGGUUGGUGGAAUUCCUAGUGUAGAGGUGAAAUUCGUAGAUAUUAGGAAGAACACCAGUGGCGAAGGCGGCCAACUGGCUCGAUACUGACGCUGAGGUGCGAAAGCGUGGGGAGCAAAACAGGAUUAGAUACCCACGUAGUCCCUGAGCGGGCUGGCAAGGCGCAU
rnacentral:rRNA from 1 species